AGAGCGGUCACGUGCGCGCACGGUGUCGGUACAUUGUUUCGUUCAUUGCAGAGCGGCGGUCUCCCCCCACCCCGGCACCCCUUGUAGAGCCAAGGACUAAUUCACAGAACAGGGAAUUGUAAUAAUCAGUCAGGACCUUCCAGGCUUUUGGAGCCAUGAAGCCAUCAGGAGGAUUCUCUCCACUUCGAGCCAGCUUGCGCAUCUUGGUCCCGGAAAUAAACUCAAAGUCAGCAUGCCUGAGAAUCAGAUGUAUAAUACAGUGUAUGAAGUUCAGCUCCAACUGUAUCUACUAGUUACUGAUGUCAGUCCAGGGGCCAUGGACAAAACUUUACCCCCAUGAGAUGGAUCAUACAAGUCCUGCCCUGACUCCGGAUGUGGCAUUCCAGCAGGAUCACGACCCACGAUGUAGAAGUUAGAACCGGCUACCAUCCUUGCACGACAAUGCCACUGGACCUAACAGAAAUGCAAUACAGAUUGUUGGAUAGUUGUGAUGGUGGCACAGAUGUGGAAUGGUUAUAAGAUGAGCUCAUUUUCUAGGAGCAUAAAGUAACUUAAUACU